CUUAUUCCAUUUUGCAUUAUAUUUUGCCCCUAUCUCCCUCCACCCCCACCCCACAGGUGGGGCCCUAGGGAAAGUGAGGUGGGGACAGCGGCCCAGACCCCUCUCCACUGUUUCCGUGGCCUCUUCUGUUCUAGCCGGAAAAGAUUCCAUCAGCCAAUUUACACUAAAGCACUAAAGUCUGCAACAUCGGUGACUCCCCUCCUUUUUCCCAUUAUGGCAUUUUAGCAGAAGGCAAAACUCCCACCCAAAGAACUGAACUUCAACAAGGAAUUUGAGGCAAUGGCAACAAGAUACUGAAGAGGGAUGUUUUAUGUCAGUGGAACCCUGAAAGCCUCCUGUCUGAGUUUAUUUAUAGGAACACACCUUAGAGACCAAGCUUACGGAGUAUUCCCUAAGUAUACAGAGUAUAGACUUAUACUUGAAGAAACUUUUUUGUUAAACUGUCUUUACAGAGCCAUUAACUCAUCUUUCAUGGAAUCUUCCCAGCUUGGGCUCUCCUUUGCAAUGUUAAAUACUGUGGGACUUCACUACUUCUACUUCACUGCUAAUCACUGGUCUAUUUAAGCACCCCCCAACCACCACCACCCCCUCUGUAAGUUGCUCUCUUGCUUUUUCACUUGUUUUUGGCUCCACCACAUGCAUGAUCUUAAUUUCCUUAGCACUGAUGGAAACCCAGGCCCCUAAAAUGGAAACUCAGAGUCUUAACCACUGGACCAACAGGGAAGUUCCUUGUUUUUCUUUUUGAGGACUCUUUCCUCUGUUUUCUACAGUUCUUAGAUUAAAAAGCAAAACCUCAAAAUGUAAGAAUCAACAAACUGAAAGAAGCCUCAGGUGUCUCCAAUUUGUAUUCACACUGGACCAGCAACCUUUAGUAAGUUAAUUCAUCUUUCGAACCUUCUAGUUUUUCAACUGAAAGAUGGGGAUAAUAAAGCCCACCUCCUACAGUCGCUAGAAGUUUUACUAGAGAUAAAAUGAAGGCAGACUCCUGGGUACGCGGGACGUAGGCCCUGACUCUGGGACGGUGGCGGCGGCUUCCAGGCUCACCUGGGCGGAGCACUGAUCCAAGUAGAGCUCCAGGUUACAUCAUGCUGUGCCAAGGUCUGGUUUCUACCCUGACUCUCACCAGUGACUUCCUCCUAGCAUGAGGUGUGCUGGUUACCCUGGAAUGACACAGAGGCAAAAUUCAGCUGCAAUUCUUGACUGGAGUCUGGAGCAUCUAGGUUUGGUCUCCCUGUGUGGUUUGGGCUUUUCACAACAUGGCGACUGGGUUCUAAGAGGAAUAUCCAGAGGAAACUUUAGCCACGAGAUUGUCCAGAUUCAACAGGAAGGAGCCAUAUACCCCGCCAUUCAAUGGAAGAAAUAUCAAAGAACUUGAAGGCCAAGUUAAAAAUGUAUAUCUUGCAAGACUUUUCUGUAUGGCUUAUAUGAUAUACUUAUGCACACACACACACAUACAUAUCUAAAUUUUUGUGUGUGACUACACCAUGUGGCUUGGAGGAUCUUAGUUCCCUGACCAAAGAUCAAUCCCAGGCUCUCAGCAGUGGAAGUAGAGUCCUAACAACUGGUCCACCAAAGAAUUUUCUAAGUAAUUUUUAAAACAAAAAUGAAACCAGAUCAUGCAUUCUAUGUUAAACAUGAUUUUAUGUAACAAGAAAAUAA